CACCCUGCAAGAAUCCCCCAAACCUGGAAGGAGCACGCAGCACUGGGGGGGGGGAGGGAACAGGUUGCAAGUCCUUCCCUUUGCGCAUUCCUUGCCAGUGUCCUUUUAAUUAGCUUUUUGGCACCCACCCAAACCCUAUAAGAUCCCCCCAGGCCUCAGAAUUUGCGCUUGCUUCAGAUCAGAUCUGUUGGUGCGGGAGCAUCCCCCGUCACUCUGUGUGUCCCACCCCAUUGCAUGGGGUGUCCCUGCGUGGGGACACCUCCUCGUGGGUGUGGGUGACAGCAGCUGCACCUCCUCUUGGAUUUUUUCUUCCCCCCCCCCCCCCCACCCCCCAUCCCGUUGUGUUUGCAGAGUGAUUGUUAUAGGGUAACAGAAUAAAUAGCAUGUUUUCCCGAGGAGUGAAUUACAUGCCUGCAGAACAGAGAUAAUGCACAAGCAGCCGUUUCCCCCAUUGUGAGCGAGGUGACAUCUUUUUAUGGAGCUGUGUACAUUUGUAUUAGUGCCAAUUAAUCUGGGGUGAUAUUAUUAGAGAGGAUGUGUCGGCGGAGGAAUGUAAAUGGAAAGAGCUCGGGCGCUGCCUCGGCCAUGUUUCAUGGGUAACCAUGCUGGGUGCCCCCCGAGAGGUGCUGUGGGUGCCCAUGGGGACCACAGCUGUGUGGGUCAGUGGCACCGUGGGGGCUCUGAUGGGGCUGUAGGAAUGGAACGGCUGCAAAAGUCUGGGGUUUUUAUUUAUUUAUUUGUUUAUUUUUGGUGUCUUUUGGUCUGAAAAGGGAGGAAUUGCAUCUGGGGUGUCCCGCAGUGCUGGGUGCUGGGCAGGCCCUGCCACCUACCGGUGCUCACAGCCCUCCCCGGUGCCACCUGUCACCUCUGCGCUGAGCCGUGGUGGCCUGGGCUUCCAAGGAACGGUGCAGAUCGCUGCUGGGUGAUGGGUGAUGUACAGACAAACCCCCACCCCAUGCCCCGAAUUCGAGGGAUUUGGGAUCAGACCGUAUGGGUCCCUUCCAACUCAGGAUAUUCUGUGAUUUCUUGAUGUGUUUUCUUUCUCCUUUUUCCUAUCCUGCUGUCUGCUUUGGGGAUGAUGCUACAGCCCUGAAAUGGACUGAUAUUCCCAUACCUGGGGCUGGGGCAGUAUCCCCUUCCCCCACCCCAACACUGAAUGCCCACCCCAGCCUGAGGUUUCCCUCCCCCAUUCUAUGCUGGUCCUUAAAUCUGCACCUCAAAGGAGCAUCACCUCCCCAUCCUGCUUGCAUUCAGAUGUGCAGCUGUGGGUGCAUGAAAUCCCUGGCAAGGAGGGGGCAUGUGAGGCUGGAUUUAAAUUACUGCUGUGCAAGGAGCAGCUGGAUUUGACUCAAGCAACAAAAAUAUCUCCAUCUAUGCCAGCAGUGUGACAACCAUGGUGGAUCCCGUUAUCCAGCAGGCGUAGUGGUGAGGCUUAAAGCACCUGCAGUGCAGGAACUUGGGUGUGUG
ensembl:lncRNA